rnacentral:lncRNA from 1 species
UCAAAAUCAGAAAAAUUUCACUCUUCCAGGCUUAAGGAAAAAUAAAAAUAAUAAAUUUAGGAAAAAAGAACUAUUUGUUAUCGAACCGGUUCGCCUGUCUAGAAAAAAUAAUAAAAAUUUUUUUAAGUAUAAAACGAUGGGUCUUUCAUUAAUUCAUAAGAAUAAACAUAAAAUUGAUAAAAAAUACUCAGAAAAAAUGAAUGUUAAUAAUAAAUAUUUUGAUAAAUACAUUACAAGAACAAAAGAUCAAAAGAUAACAGAAAACAAAGAAAAAGAGAAUUUUAAUUUACUUGUUCCUGAAANNNNNNNNNNNNNNNNNNNNNNNNNNNNNNNNNNNNNNNNNNNNNNNNNNNNNNNNNNNNNNNNNNNNNNNNNNNNNNNNNNNNNNNNNNNNNNNNNNNNNNNNNNNNNNNNNNNNNNNNAUCGUUAUUGGUUUAAUACCCAUAAUGGAAGCCGUUUCAGUAUAGUAAGGAUACAUAUGUAUCCGCGUGUGAAAAUUCGUUAAUCUAAUUUUGUCUUCUAUUAAUGAUAAUAAGUUUUUGUGAUUAUCUAUUAGUUUAUAAAAUCUAUUUUAAUUGUAAAUGGAUGCAGGGAAGAGCUAGUAGGACCAACAAAGGCACUAAUUAUGCAUGAAAUAUCAAUAAUAGGGUUAGAGAGUUCCACCACCUUCCACAUAUGCAGUUCUUGAAUUUUUUUUCUAUACACAUUUAAUACUUCAAUGUAAUCAUUUUCAUUUUUCAGCAUUACUAGUAAGAAAAAAUAAUUGUUUCAUAACUUAUUACCUUCCAUUGUCACUAUUUCUUUUCCUGAAAAAGAAGUUGACUAAGUGCAAUCAUUUGUAUGCAGCUUGAUAAUGCAAUGAGAGCAAGAAGUCUUAUCUUUGAUGGUGCAGAGACCAAAUGUUACUUUCGCAUAUGUGGUGCAGUCCCUAGAGUUCAAUUUGAAGAUAGUGUGUUGGAAACUUUAUUAAAGUCGAUUAAUCUUGGUGUUGGUUGAGUUUGAAAACCCUUUUAUCAUUGUAAAUGAUUUUGACAUAGUGUCAACUUAGAUUAUUAAAUUUAUUUAUUAUGAAUAUAUAUUAAAAUUGUGGUUAUUGAAUAGGUAACAUUGUAAGAGAUUUAUUAAUGUAAUUGUUUAAGAGUUUGUUAAAGAAUAAGAGUUGUAUUUGUUUUUUUGAAUUCUAUUUAUAAAAAAUAAUCCAUCUGUUUGACUUUUACCAACUAUAUAAAACUCCUAACUAUUGAGUGUAGAUGUAGAAUCACAUAUUUUAUUUUUUUUACAAAAUCAUAAUUACAUACAGAUUUUAUUUACGGACUUUUUUUGUAUGUAAUUAUAUAUGAAUUUUACAUACGGUUUUUUUCGUAUAUAAUUACAUACAGAAAAAUCUGUAUGUAACGUAUCUACGCCCCUUUUAUAUACGGAUUUUUGUCCGUAUAUAAUCCGUAUAUAACAUUAUUUUAUAUACGAAUUUUAGAGGUUACAUACGGAUUUUGGUUGUAUGUAACUACGAUUUUUCUUGUAGUGGUUAGUCUUCAUGUUUUGUUGAUCAUUUUAGUCCUCGUCUUGCUAAGUUAUCUCUUUGAUCAUACAAAUAUGCUUUUUUAGAAUUUCCUAUAUCACAAAAUGGAUGCAGGUGUUUAUGCAAAUGUCACAUUCAACGAGUCGUUUUUUUACUUUAAAUGUCUUUUUUCUUCUUAUAUGUAUAUGUCUAAUACAAUCAAUAUUCAUAAUACAAUUUUUAUUUUGUGCUUCUAAAGUUGUGCCUAAGCUUCAACAAUCAUCAGGUGACUCAAUUUAAGUGUCAACUACCAUGUCUCCUUCGACUCUAGCAACAAAGUCAAACCUCCCAAUUUUUCUUCGUAAAGGUCUACAUUCUACUCGUAAUCCAUCUACCUUUUUAUACCCGUCUUUCAUUUACUUUUUAUAUUUUACCAUUCCAAAACCUAUCAGUGAUGCCUUAGCAUCUUGGUUGGCGUUAUACCAUGCUAGGUGAAUUAAAUGCUUUACAAAAUAGUAAAACAUGAGAGCUCAUCCCAUUACUGUUUGGAGAAAUUUUUGCUAGUUGUAGGUGGAUUUUUUCUAUCAAAGUUGGUCUUGAUUGUACUAUUGAUCGCCUCAAAGCUCAUCUUGUAGUCAAAGGUUACAAACAAAUUUUUGGGUUGGACUAUUGUGAUACUUUUUCUCCAGUGGCAAAGAUGACUUCUAUUAGUUUAUUUAUAUCCAUGGUUGUUCUUCAACAAUAGUCUUUUUAUCAAUUGGAUGACAAAAAUGUGCUCCUUAAUGGAGAUUUGUAGAAAAAGAUUCAUAUGGAGCAACCUCUAAGAUUUCUUGCUUAAGGGAAGUCUUUUUGAUUUGUAUGACAUCUUCACAAAUCUAUAUAUAGCCUAAAACAGACUCAUAUGGUUUGGUUUGGAAAAUUUAACAACAAUUUGGUAUGACAUAGUGUGAGGCAGACCGUUGAUAAUGACCUAUUUUACCAUGAUUUCAGUAUUGAAUUUAGAGAAAAUAUCAACUCUUUCUUAGCUUUUUGCCUUGUAAAUCCUAGUUUUCCUCUUAGUUUAAUAAGUGGUUUCAUCUUAAACUUUAAUUAUAUAAAUUGAUCAUUAACCCCUUCAUUUACACGCUUAAAUUAGUUGGAAGAAGUCUUUGCAUCAAAUGAAGGUGCUGGAACCAAAGUAAAGCAGAAAGAAUAGCAAAAAUGCUAAACUAGAAUUUUGCGAAGUCAGGCUCGAGCUCCCCUAGCUUAAGGGGGCUUGAGCGCCAGUGCACCACGACUAUCGUGCGCUCGAGCGCCCCUCACCCUGGGGGCUUGAGUGCCAACUUUGCUGACAUGGCAAAUUUGCCCUAUUUAACUCAGAGGCGCGAAGAACUUUGGAUCUUUGGCUGCCCAUACACGAUUUCUCUCAAUAGGAGCUCUUGGAGGCGGGCUAGGAGCUGUGGGAACAAUCUUUCUUCAUCCUUGGGUCUUCUUCCCUCUUCCAUUUCCACCAUUGUUGUAAGCUUGAGCUCUCCAUUCAUGGAGAGCUAGUUUCAUUGUUGUUGAGGGAUUGAUGUAGCCAUUAAACUAUUAUGUAAACUAGUAUGUUUUGAAUGAAUAUAUGUCUCUUUCAUUGAUUGUUAGUGUUUAAUUUCUUCUCUUAAUGCUUGUUGUGAAGCUGCUACCCAUGACAUGAUUUUAGGGUUUGCUUGAUAUUGGGAAAUGUUGGGUAAAUCUGGACUUGAAUUAAACACCUAAAGGAAAUAGUAUCUAGGGAUAGAACUAGGACCUUUAGUUGUCUUAAAUCUCAAAUCUUAAUGCAGAAAUACUUGUUAGGUUUUCCAAGGGAUUUGAGUCUAAUGAGGAAGUCUAGGCUCUCUCUACCAAGGGAUUGGGGUUUGAGUAAAUUAGUAGAUUGACAUUGACAUAUUAAUGAAGAGAAAGUGAUUUUUUAUACAUAAGAGUGAAGUAGGUGAAAUCAUACCCCCAACAAUACCAUUCCAUAUCAUUUCUAAUCUUUCCAUUUCGAAGUAUUUGAGUACCUAAGAUCACUUUUAUCAUUUAUGUUUCAUGUUCAUUUUAAUUGCACAAAAAACCCAAAUUAUGGAAGAAUUCUUUAGUUUAGGUUAGUUAGAAAUUAUACGAUUGUCUAGUGAAACGAGUCUCUUGGGAAGCGAUAUCCAGUCUUACUGGUUUUAUUACUUGAAACAAUUUGGUACACUUGUCAAAGUCUCAACAAUCGUUUAGUCUUUUAUUGUAACUCGAGUAUUGGAUGUGUCUACUUGAUAGUUUAUGUUGAUGACAUCGUUCUUACAAGCAUUGAAAAUCAUGACAUCUCUCAUAUGAAACAUCUUUGUCACCAUUUUCAAACCAAAGAUCUUGACUAACUCAGAUAUUUCAUGCGUAUUAAGGUUGCACAAUCCAACGAUGAUAUUCUUAUAUCUCAAAGGAAGUAUGCAUUGGAUAUUUUAGAAGAAACUUGGUUGAUGAAUUCAAAAUCUAUUGACACAUCAUAGAGCAUAAUACCAAACUCCUACCAAAUCAAAGGGAGCUUAUGUAACACCUCGAUCUGGGAGUCAUUGUUUAUUCGUAAAACACUCAUUUACUUUUCAAAAUUUUGAAAUUUCAAUUUCUUUGAUAAAAACUAUCUUUAAUACAUCAUAAAUAUUGAAAAUCGAGUACACAGCUUAAAAUAAUAUUGAUUUAAAAUUACAAUCCUUAAGAAAAUUUCCAAAUAUUUUUCCUAGAAUAUAUCUCAUUUCUAUGCAUGUUCAACUUCUUCUACAACAUCAUUUACUCCCAUAUAACAACACGAGUAAUACAAUCAUCGUACAAACACAGAUACAAACAAGAAAUGGUGAACUAACUAGAAACACAAAAGAGCAUACAACAGAAAACACUCACGCACACUGCUAAAUCAUUCAUUUCAACAUACAUCAUCAAAUUUCAUAUACAUGACCACACAAUUGCCCUCAAUUUAAUUUCGUUGUUAUGUCUUUAAUUUCCCCAUAUCAUGUCGUUACUUUGGCCUCUCCUAGAGUCACUCUAUUUAAGCCCAAAGCCUUACUAGGAAAACCAGCAACAAUCAUGACUUUACAGUUACAACAUUACAACCAUAACAAACAAAAAGCCUCUACCUCAACAGAUCAUAACUCAAUCAUACUCAUUCUUGAUUUAACGUCUAGCACCAACCUAAAUCAUCAAACUUAUCAAUGAUUCACAACUCGUUCAAUACACAUACUCAUCAUAUAGAUAUAUCCAUCACAUUCACAUCAUACCCAAUCAUGAUUCCAACAAUCAACAUGAUAACACAUCAUAUAGAAUCAUUCCUUAAUAACAACUGAAAAGACAUAUCUCAUUAUCCUAUUGCUAAUCACAACAACAUCCAUACACAUAGUUUUACACAUGCAUAUCUCAUCUCUAGUCAUUUCCAUGUUAAUCCAAGAUAACCAUCUAAAUAACACACAAGUAUUCUCAAAUAGUCCAUUUUUAUUAAAACAUUCAUCUUACCAAAGAUUAUUAACAUUGGUUAUGCCAAGCGUUCAGUAGGAAACACUAAAGGUUGACAUCGUUUCCAACACCACAAUAGAUACAUCACUUACUAAAAAAAAUGAGCAACUUUUCAUUUCAAAAUUAAAAUUCAAUAAAUAACAUACCAACAAGGAUAAAUUAGUACCUCACUUACAUAUCUUCAAUUCAUGGACCAAGCAAUAUCAAUCUAACAUUUAUCAUAUCACAAAAAUGUUUAUUUAACAUUAGUACUUUGACAAAGAAAAUUACUCAUCACAUGAACACACCAAAUCCACGACUCUCACAUGUAAUUACUCAAUCAUUCAAUUGUUCAAAACACAUUUAUAUUCAACAUUUGCAACAUCAAUUGAAUCUCAUUCCUUCUCAAGCUUCUCAUGCAAACAUUAUAAUGACUUCAUUCAUAUUCAUACUCAUAAUUGUCUAGGCAUAUAUAAAUAACCAUUCAGUUUAGCAAAAAUGAACGCUCAUACACAUUAUAUAAUUAAAAUUUCUAAGCGCUCGAGAAUAUGUUUAAAUCCAUUAAUAACCCAAAUCCUCACUUUUCAAGUCUCUUAUAAUAUACAUAAAUUGUGGACCAAAGACUUGACUUACUUACCCAAUAAGUGGCAACAAAAGUAACGUUAUUAAUCAUCAAUUUAAUUUAUCUAUUUAUUUCCUAUUUGAAACUCAUCUUGUAUGACCAUUACGCUGGCAAGCUUCUACACAUUACCAUAAUUUUUUUUUUUUUAUUUAUCAUAACAUAAUAUUUCCCUAAACUUAUUUUUAUACACUAAAGCACCAAAAAUUGCUACACAAAUAAGUGAAUAUUUCUAUUUAAAAUAUACACCAAAAACACCAUAUAACAAUCUUUCAAAAACAAAACAAUAAGUCAUAAUACAAGUAUUUAUAUUGUAAAAUCUGCACCAAAAAUAACAUGUAACAAUUAUUUUUUUGAACAAAAACAACAAGCUAAAUACCACAACCAACAUCACAUUUAAUUAUAAAUAAAGACAACAUGUACUCUUUAUUUUCUUGAAAAGAUAUAAUUGAAAGCUUGUUGAGUAGACUUCCAAGAAAGAGAGGUGUGUCUUAAUGGACAACUUAAGUACAUUGUCUUUCCUUAGCCAAAGUGUUUGCCAACAAGUUUCACAAAUCUCACAUCCAUUUACACACAUCAUGUUUCUAACAAAACUUAAUAACUUACACUUUAAAACACUCCAUAUAUCAUCACUAUAUUGGCCAACAGUCAAUAAAAUUUCAUACUUAACAAAACAAUUGCUCAAGAGGUAUAUUUUCCAAACAACAACCAACAUUCGUGUCCAACCAAUAGGCUCAUAUCAUCAUCUUCCACAAAAAAAAAAAAAAAGAUACAUGGUUUAGCUCCCCUUACCUCUUGAUGAACUACUUUGAUCCUUUUUCUACGAAAUCUGAGCAACACCUCCCUUCUCUACCCUUCAAAACCUUCUACACUCAUAAAGACAACCCCUCUUUACAAACAACUUUAUUUCCAACUCAAUUUAAACACCCUUUCAAAAGUUCUUCCAACCUUUUCUACAACUCAGAUCCUAGCCCUCAAUUCUCAUUAUUUGCUAUUGAAUUCUUUUUCUCUAUUCACAAAUUUCACUCCAAUGAUGAAAAGCUUCAUUUCCUCACCCUUAUUUAUAGUUGAAGUUAGGGUUACUGUAGCAGUAUUGUAGUAGUAUAGUUGUACUACAUUGUUACUAUAGCAGUACUGUAGUUGUACUACAUUGUUAUUGUAGGAGUAUUGUAGUUCUACUACAUUUUACUGUAGCAACACACUUUUCACGAGAUAUUUUCACUAUAGCACCAUACAUAUUUUACAAUAGCAUUAUAUGUAUUUUACCGUAGCAUUAUACGUAUUUUACUAUAGCAUUAUAUUGUAGCAUUAUACAAAAUUUGCGUAUUUUUUUAAAAAAUAUAACAUCUCAAAUGCAACUAUUUUCAAGGGUCUUACAGGUUAUGUCAAAUUUUAGCAAUAUAGAAGAUGAAGUUGGAAAAUUGAAUUAUCUUAUAGUUACUCGUCUUGACAUUUCCUUUACAGUUAGUGUAGUAAACCAAUUUCUUAAUUCCCCAUGUGAAGAUCAUUGGAAUGCAAUCAUCCGUAUAUUAAAGUACAUUAAAGGAUUUUUUGGAAGAGGAUUGUUAUAUGGUUCCAAUAAUCAUACAUGAGUUAUUUAUUAUUCAAAUGGUAAUUGGGUAAAAUCUCCAUCUGAUAACAUAUCUACUUCUAAAUAUUGUGUCUCCAUUUGAGGUAACUUGAUUUAUUGGAGAAGAAAGAAACAAAGUGUUGUGGCAAGAUCUAAUACAGAAGCAUAAUACAAAGUUGUGACCUCAACCACCUAUGAACUUGUUUGGUUUAAGCAAUUGAUUAUAAAGUUAUAAUUUGAAGAUAUCACUUAAAUGACACUUUUAUGUGACAAUCAAGUUGCUCUUCAUAUUAUUUAUAACUUUGUAUUUCAUGAUAGGAUCAAACACAUUGAGAUUGAUUGUCAUUUCAUUUGAGAAAAAAUUGUAUAUGAAAAUAUCAAGAUUGUGCUUGUUAACUCAAGUGACUAGUUAGCAAAUACUUUUACUAAACCUUUACGAAGAUUGAGAAUUAAUUUUGUAACAAGGUCGAUACAUACAAUUUAUAUGCAUUUGUUUGAUAAGGAAUGUUAAAUAACUUAUAUUUAUCUUUUAUAUUCAAUUAUUUAUCUUUUGUUAUUAUUUUUUAAUUUGUAUUUUGGAUUUAAUUCAUAUUUCCUUCUUUAUAAUGUUUAUUUAUUUUUAUAUAAGGGAGAUUAAUUUCAUAUAUAAUUUUUCACUAUAUUCAAUGAUUUUUAAGACAUACAUUUAAUUUAUUUUUAAUAUUUCUAUAUUUUGCUUGUUUUUAUCUAGUAGAAUAUUGUUUUUAUGUUUUUUAUAUCAUUAUUUCUAUUUUCUAAUUCAUCAUUAUAAACGUGAUUCUAUCACUAUACAUGUAUAAAAAAAUCAUUUUACUAUAAUAUAAUAAUUUAAUGUUAUUGUCAUGAAUCUUAUUUAUCAUUUUUCAACAUAUGUCAAAGUUGAAAAAAAAAUGAAAGAUUUAGGUUAAAUUUAAAUUAUUAUUAAUUUAAUAUUUUUAGAUAAAGAAAUCUAAUUAUAAUUUAAAGUGCAAGAGUAAUAAUAUUUAAAAUAUUUUUAUAUUUAAUUAUCUAUUUGUUUUAGUACUAUUUUUAAAAUAUUGCCAAAAUUUAUUUCAUUAACUUUGCAAAUUUAAUAAAUGUUUUGGUCUUAUGGAAUUUUAUUUGAUAAUUUAAUUUGAAAUGUAUAUCGUUAUAAUUUACUUUUAUAUGUUUGAUAUUGAAGAACGAUAUGUUUAAUAUUUGAUAAUAUUAUGUUUUUUUUUGUAAGAUAUUUUUUAUUUUAUAAAAAUUAUUCAUAUUAAAGAAUGAUAUUAAAUAUUUAAUAAUAUUAUGAUUCUAUUUUGUAAGAUAUUUUUUAUUUUUAUACAUCAUUGUGAUAUUAAACAUUUGAUAAUAUUAUGUUCUUUUUUAAGAUAUUUUUUUAUUUUAUAAAAAUUAUUUAUAUUAAAAUAUAAAGAAAAUAGGUAUGAGUACAAAUACAGAUAUUUGUUAAUAGGUGAGGAAGAGGAUGAAACACAAAUUUCAUACUAGUUGAACUUAGGUGUGAGAUAAAGAAAUUCAUCUUGGUCUUACCCAUUGUCAUCUUUAAUGACAUCUAUCAAAUCAUUCACAAAAUUUCUUAAAUUAUUCUUUCAAAUCUUUACUUACCCAUUUCUAUCAUUUAAAACAAAUAGCAUGACAAUCUCCUCUCUUUCUCUUUAUAUACGUUCACUUAUUGUCUCAUAGAUGUAUCAUUUAAACAAAGUGUAUAAAUCGAUUAUAACAUCAGAAUGAAUAACUUAUAUAUCCCAAAAUUGAAACUUAUCUUUAGUAUUAAUUGGGCAAGACAAAUAAAAAAAAUUGUGUUUUAAAAAAUAAUAUAAGAUGAGAACACUUGACACAUACUAUUUCUUUUAUAAAAUUUAUUUUGUUUAAGAAAAUUGAGAGGCGAGAUAUUUAUGAUAAAAAUCACUUUAACGGUCAUAGUUAGUUGUUUUAUUUAUUGACAAAUUCAAAUAUUUUUUAUUAAGUCAAGGAGUAUUAUAAUUUCAUUUGGAUAUUUGAUAUCACUAUUUACUUACUAUGAGUAUUUAUGACACCUUUGAUUUGUUGUUACUUGGACUGGGUAAUCUGAAUUAUACUGAAUUAUAUUGAUAAAACCUGUACAUAACCAAAAACUACUUCUUUUGAACUGAAAUAAACUAAAAAAUAGUUUAGACGGACCAAACUAUUUUUUAUCUUAUUAAGUUUUCCUGCAUUCUUUACUUCAUAUUCUCAUUCAAAGCCCUUUGUCGUUGCUUGCCAAUUGAACUCAAAUAGAGAUAAAUGUGAAGAAAGAAGAAAGAGUGUUGGUUGUAGUACUUUCAAUGCAAAUUUGAAGCUAACAUGUCUACCCUUGUUGAUCUCAACAAAUUUGAAGCUAAAAUGAGGGGUGAAUUUGGGAUAGGAUCGGCUGCAUUUUGCUUUACAUGUCUUAGGUUGGUUUAUUUCAUUCCAUUUUAUCUUUACGGAUUCAUAAAUAACACUUUCGGACUAAGUUUUAGACAAAAACAAAACUGAAUUGUCUUCGUAGAUUGUUUUGCAGGAAAACAGUCCAUGUGAAUGAAAAUUUCAGGUAAUUUUUUAUUUCAAUUGGCCAUGCGUUAUAAAAAAAUUAGAAAUGAACAUGAUGCAAUUUCGUGGUUGACAGAGGAUGCAAUGGACAAAAUCAGUGUUAAUAACACAAACAGUUCAUACAGACCUGCAUUAAAAUGAUGUAAAGUUCAUUUUUUUUAAUUGAAUUAAAAAAUAGUUUAAUUAGUUUUUUUUAAGUAUAAUAUAAUACAUAUAACUGUAGUUUAGUAUAAUUUAUUAAAUUAUGUCAACCUUAGUUGUUACAAGUUAUACAUUUCAUAUUACUAAAAGAAAUGUACAGACUUAUUAUUACUGUUAUAAAUAUUAUUAUUAUCACAUAUGUCCAUGUCAUUGUUAUGAAGCAAUUAAACAAAAAUAUUACUAAACAUUACGUUAAUUUGUUUUACUUAUUAAAGAAAUUCAAAGUACAAUGUUAUUUUUUGUCUAUAAUUCAACCAUGCAUUUGAAAACUCAGUGUAAACAAUAGUGUAAAAAUGGUCUUUAACAUCACGCAUAUAACGUCCAACCACCGAAAAUCCAACGAAAAAAUGGUCGGUAAUAUUUUUGUAAAUAAAACGUUAUUAUGGAAGUCGGUUCCUCUAGGGUCAGACGUCAAAAUCUCCUUUAGACGUCGACCCCCCCUCCCCCAAAUCAGACGUCAAAUCCUUUUUUAAACGUUGACCCUUUAGAUCAGACGUCAAAAAAGUCCAAAAAUAUCUCAUUUUAAGUGUCAAUGUUAAUUUUUUUUACGACAUAGACGUCGGGCCCCCAAAAUCAGACGUCAAAUCCUUCUUUAGACGUCGGCCUCCCAGAUCAAACGUCAAAAAGGUCCGAAAAUAUCUCAUUUUAAGCGCCAAUAUUAAUUUUUUUACGACAUAGACGUCGGGCUUCCCCAAAUCAUACGUCAAAUCCUUCUUUAGACGUUGGGCCCCCAAGACCAGACGUCAAAAAGGUCCAAAAAUAAAUGUCGGUGGAUUAGAUGUUAAAUCUUCUACCAGAAGCUGCAAAAUCAUAAUUGAAAGGUCAUUUUUGCAGACAUUAGACAUCGAACAUAAAAGGGGCUGACGUCUAAUACACAUUAGACAUCGGAUCCCCUUCCUCAAACAUCAAUAAGCUGCGAAGAUAUCCCAAAAGUAGCGCCAAAAUGAUUUUUUUUACCAACUAGGCGUUGGAUCUAGAGGGGGGCUGACGUCAAAUGCCCUUUUAAACCACAAACACUCAGAAUGUGAGCCUCACUUUCUUUCAAGUUUGAGUUUGAGUUUUUGCUUCAUUCACGUUCGCCAGUUACGUGUUUUCUCUCUCGUUUCUUUCAUCUUCUUCCUCUACUUUCUCUCGUUCGCCAUUAACGUUCAUGUAAGUUUUCUUCCACUUUGCACCAUUUAAAAUUAUUUUGCGACAAUUAUAUUACGUUUGGAACCAUUAUCUUUCAUUUGCAGCGAUUAAAAUUUGUUUUCAUUGGCUUUUGGUCUUUGGCGCAUUCUAACACAGUUGCGACAACGAUUUUUGAACUGCUAUUGUGUGCGUUUUUCUCCUCACCCUUACAGCGACACUUGUGUACUCCUUUACCUUCAUGGUGGAUAAUUUAAAAAAAAAAACCAUAAAUUGACGAAUGUUAUUCUUAUAACAAAUGUUAAUUAACAUCUGUUAUAAAUUUAUAAAUGCAACAAACGUGAAUUGACGUCUCUUCAAAGACAACAAAUGUUAAUUUAACGUCUUCUGCUAUGAAAUCGGACAUUUAACAAACGUUAAAAACCGACAUUAAAAGCUAUUUUUAUGUUUAUGAAAGUUGAUAAAUUAUAUCACAAUCGUGUAAAAGACCUAAAAUUUCACCUUAAAAAGUUUGAAACAAAAAAUCGUAUCAAGGUGUGUGACAAAUCACAAAUAAGUGUCAUGGAUUGAGAUAGUAAAUUAUGAAUUAAAACUAGAAAUAAUGCAUACAAUCAAGAGACCUACUUGAAAAAUCAAAACCUUUAAAUUUAAAGCUUUAAAUUUUUAGGUUGAAGAUAAUAUCAUUUCACAUAUACAAAGUUAUUAAAAUUUACUUUUUAUCCUUGAACUUUAUUUAUUUGUCUUUAAUUACUAAUUAUCUCCAAACUUACAGUAUUAUAUGGACAUUCGAUUUUAAUAUACAUAUAGUUAGAAAUGUAAAAUAUAUAUAAGUGGAUGCUCUUUACUUUCAAUAGUAUGACUAGUUGUAUUUUUUAUUACAUUAAUUUGAAUUUUUGUUAUUAAUUUUAAAUUAAUAUUUUUUUUGUCAUAUAUAAUAUUUCAAACAUAUCUCUGGUGUUUGUAUUUUUAAAUAAACGAUUUCAAUCUUUAAAACUUAACAUCAUAAAAUUUAUAGAAAAUGUUAGACUAAUAUAAUAUGUAAUCUUUAUAUAUAAUUAUCACAUUUAAUGAUAUUCAUUUACCAUAAAAAUUUCAUAAAAAAAUUAUAUUCGUAUAUCUUUUAACUAGUUAACUAAUUUUCAAGAUAAAAAUUUAAACUAAAAUUUGAUAGAAAAUUCAAUAAAAGUUAACACUCUAAUUUUUCUCUUACUAAAAUAUAUAAUUAACACAAAUUAAAUAAUUAAAAUAAAACUUCAUUUCUCUCUUGUUUGAAAUGUAAUAAAAAACAAUUGUUAUACAAAAAUCGACUUUAUUGAAAAGGAAAAAACUAAUACUAAAAUAUUCCAAACAUCUUUUCAUAUUAAUUAUUUUUCUUAGUUUUAUGUAUCUUUCUUAGUUCCUCUAAUAUCAUAUACUUUUGUAUAUACCUAUCAUUUGAAUCUCAUUUAUCUUUUGCCCAUUCAAUAAGGAGUUUUCUGAAGCCCUAGCCCCCCAAACUCAUAAGGAGUGAGUUGAGGUCGGGUUAGGAUGAGACUGACCCUAAGUUUGAAAUUCCUUCUUUUCAUUCAACUAUUUUUCGUGAAUUCUUGCUCUUUCACGAUUCAAUCAAGUUUCUUCGUUCUCUCUCUUCCACGAGAUCAAGGGACUCACCUCUUCUAUCAUCUUCGAGGGUGUUAACAACUAAAGAAUUGGUUGUGAUUCACCGAUGGUGCGUACUCCUUUCCCUUCUUCAAUUGUGUUCUACAUUGUUGUAAUAAUUGAUUCUUUAUUACCAUCUUUACUCGUGCAUUGAACUCGUACCCCUAUUUUAUUUUUUCUUUGAAAUUUUAUAUAUCAUUUUCUGAUUUUGUAUAUACAUUUGUACAAAUUUAAAGUUUGUAGACAUGAUUUGUCUUUGUUGUUGUAGAAGUACUUUGUCUUCUUUGCAAUUGUGUUUAUGAUUGUUGCAACUGACAAAUUAAACUUCAUAUAGGUUAUUGAUAUCUGUACAAUAAAUGUCAAUUGUAAACACAAAUUCUAUGACUAAAAUUUGCUUAUCUAAUCUUUCAAUAUACAUAUAUAUAUAUAUAUAUAACCUUGUUGUCAAAUGUUGUUACAUGAAAAAAUGGCUGAGAAAAGUGAGGUUCUUUGAUUAUGAUCGCACUAAAAACAUCAGCCAAACAUUUAGAGUCACACAUAAGCAAAAUAAAUGUGAAUUAACAUAUAAACAAUUAACUUUACAAUCACAUUUCACAAUUAAAUAAUAUAAAAGUCAUAUUAUAUCAAUAGACCAAUCUAUGAUAUCAAAAUAAUAAUGUAAUAAUUCAUGAUCUUAUACACAAGUUCAACACACAAAUGUUUCAAUGCAAGGUAUUGACUCAUACAAAACUAUUUGAUAAACUACUUUCGCAAUUGUUAUAUCUUUUCAAAGUUUUCAACCAUUCAUUCUCUAAAAUAUCACAUUCUCAAUUGUGAACUAAAAUUUCUUAUUACUCCUUAUGGAUAAAGUUCACUCCUCUGUUCUUUCUCAAAGAUACUUACAAACACCAUUCAUACAUAGAGUCACCUAUUAUUAGAAACACAUUCAAAUAUGUCAAUAGUCACUUCUUGCCCAUACAACAUUUUUCAUGCAACAUCAAUACACCACCAAAAACUCAUUGCAUAUUCACAAUUAACAAAUAAGAUAGAAAACACAAGUUAAAACAUAUUAAAAUAUUUAAAACAGUUAAAAGAGGUAGCUUGCAUUCACAUUGAUUUGUUAUUCUUACUCUAAUUCUUAAUAUUUUUGUGUUUCCUUUUAUCCUACCAACUUCUAAAUACUUCUAUAUAUAUUAUCCAAAUAUUCUAAUCAAAUAAAUUAUUUAACUUAUUUCAUCAUUUUAUUUAUACUAAAAAUUAUAAUUUAAACUUACUUCAUCAUUUUCAUUAUUUGACUUUUUUAAUUUAAUUAAAGUAAUUCAGAAUCAAAAGCAAUCUUCAAUCCAUAAAUAUUUUCAAGAAAAGUUCUCUUAAACUAAAAGGAAAGGUAAAUGUGGAUCAAAUUAUCUCAGCCAUGUUUUCUUAUUCUUGGACAAGUGAUUUAAAUUGCAAAAAAAAUUAAAAUGAUUAUUUCUGUACUUUGCAUUAUUUGUGUUUGUUCAAAAAUGGUCAUUUUGAAUUAAUUUUUUAGUCAUAUUUUAACACUGCACAAAAACUAUUUAGUGAUGAAGUUGUAUUAUUAAUUGAUUUAUCUUAAAUAUUUAAUAAUUUUCUUAACAGUAAUAAAUAAAUAAAUCGCGCUGAUCAUUUAAUAAUUCUGUAUUUUGCAUUAUUGUGUUUGUUCAAACAUGAUCAUUUUGAAUUAUUUUUUUAGUCAUAUUCUAACACUGCACAAAACUAUUUAGUGACAGAAGUUGUAUUAUUAAUUUAUUUAUCUUAAAUAUUUAAUAAUUGUCUUAAAAUUUGUUGACCACUGAAUCAUUCAGUUUGAUAAGAUACAAUCAAAUUUUCCCUUUUUUUAUUUAUUUAUCAUGCUAAUUAAUUUGUUUUAAUACUUUUACGCAGAAUACUAAUUAUAUUAAAUUAAACACUGAAUACAAAAAUAAUUACAAAAAUAAUAUAAACCAGUGAUCAUAUUAUGCAUGAUUAUUAUAUAUUAAAAAAAUGGUAUAAAAUGAUAAAAUUGUAAAAUAUUAAUUAAAUAUAAAUAUAAGUGCAUCACUGUUUUUUUUUUAUAAAUAAAAUUAAGUUAUUAUGACAAUUUAUCAAAUUUUAGUUUUAUAUGUACUGGAAGUUAGACUUUAACUAUAAUAUAAUUAAUACUACAUUUAAUAUUAAAAUUGAAUGUAAUUAUCAUAGUUAAUGCUGACAAAUUCAAAAAAACAAAACAGUGCACAUAAUAUUUAAAUUAUCAUAAUUUAUAAGAGAACAUUUUAAACAAAAUAUAUUUUUUAAUAUGAAUAGUUAGAUUUUAAAUUGGUGUGACACAAACUUAAUCAUAUUAUUAACCAAUUGUAACACCUGAAUAUUAAUAGUAGAAACUAUAAAUAUAAUAAAAAAGAAAAAAAUAAAUAAAUUUUAAAAAUAUUUUAUAUAGAACAUUUCAAAAAAAUUGUUAUAUUUAAAAAUAUAUUUUAAAAAAAAUCAUUUAAUAAUUAUAUUAUAAAAAUAAAAUGAGAACAAAAUCGUAUAGAAUUCUUUUUUUAUAUAUAAAUAUAAAUUUAUAUUUAUAUUUUUUAUUUUUUAAAAAUAACGCACAUCGUCUUAAGUAAUAGGUUAAAAUAUAAAAAAAUAACUAAUUUUAUUUUAAAAGGUAUCUUAAAACAUAUUAAACCUAUUAGCAUAUAUAUUAUUUCUUCGAUCAGUAGUAUGUAAAUUAAAAAAAUAUAGAAGAUGUAAAUAAUAUUUUUGUGUCUCUGUCAACCCUAACCCGAUAUAAUGUAGAUAUCGGGUCCCCUUAUAAAUCCGGAUCAACCCGUGAAUAAACAAAUAAAACAUAAUAUUAUAUAUAUAUAUAUAUAUAUAUAUAUAUAUAUAUAUAUAUAUAUAUAUAUAUAUAUAUAUAAUUUUCUUUCCCUUUUCCUGAGAAAAUGAGGCACUAUCUUUGGAAGCCGCAGCACACAAGCUUUUUUUGAGGUUGCUUCUCUUCCGCCGCACCCCUGUUCACCGUCUCCGAGGUUGCAGGGUUUCACGGCUCCAAUGGCGGCUUUCCACCACUUCGGGAACAUGAACGAAGUCGCAUUCAAGCCCCGCCUGCUUCUCUCACUCAUAAGAGACCAUCUUCCCGACGAGAAAAGUUCCUUCUCCGACCCCUCUAAACUCUCCAAGGCCGUGUCACUUUUAAAAACCCACUCUCUUCUCUCCGAGUCUUUUCUCGCAGACUCCACCUCCACCAAAGUAAUCGAAGCCUGGAAAUCCGCAUUCUCUUCAUGGCUCAACCGCAUAUUCUCCCUCCUCUCCACCUCCAUGGUGUGAAUCAAAAGCAGCAAGCUUUUAAAUUUUCUUCAUUUUUUCCUUUCUUGUUUUGAAUGAUUUUUGUAGUUGAGAUGGAUGUGUUGUUCUUUUCUAGCCUGAUAAAUGCUGGGCGGGGAUCACUCUGCUCGGGGUGACAUGUGAAGAGUGCAGCUCUGAGCGUUUUCUGGAAUCUUACUCUGCGUGGUUCAACAAGUUGCUGGCUUUUCUACAGGUACAGAGAUGUUUUGCCUUUCAUGCUGAUGAUUAUUUUGUCAGACUUUGGGUUUAGGAAUACAAAGUGCUGUUCACUGCAGACAUACAGUUGCAUAGGGUAGUCUUGUUUGGAUGAACAUUUACAUAAGUCUAGGAAAAAAAAGUAAGGCUUUGGGAAAUAAAUUUCUUCAUUAGUCAAAAUUAACAUAUGUAUUAGUUUAAAGUAAUCUUUUAGAGAAGUUGGAAUGAGAGAAUUUCUAUAAAUUAAUGUAUGCAUAAACUAUUUUUAGUUUAUAGAGAAACUCAUUUAAUUUUUUCUUAUUCAUCUUCUUUUUCUUUGUGUUUCCGGAGAACUUUAUCCACAUUGAUCGUAGAUGAAUUUAGACUUCAGUAAAGCUCACAUGUGACUAGUACAUUGGUUGUUUUGAGCAUAUGAUACGGGUUUGAUCUCUUAUCCGUGGUCUCACAGUGAGAAUAUCUCUGGUCCAGUUCUGGAUCUAAAACAUAAUGAUUCUUUUUAACUGUAAUGUUUGGUAUGCUAUCCUGCACAUAUUUUAGCCUACAAGCCAAUGCUGGGACUUGAAAGAGAAGUUAAUGCAUUUGAUACCGAGUAAAUCUAAUGUGCUUGUACUACUCACCUUUACAGAUUUCAGGCAUCCUUCCUGUAAAUUGUAAAUGGGCAGUCCAUCUUUUACUGAUGUCUUUUGGAAUUAGAAAAUGUGCUUGUUCCUUCUGUAUGUCAUUAAAGAGCUCACAAAGCUUCCUUUCUUGUAUUCGAUGAGGGUGCCAUCUUUUUCUACAUGAUAUGUUACUGAUUAACACUAUACAUCAUUUAUGUGAUACUGUCUUUUUUCUUUGACUUUCUUUUGAAUCUUUUAAAGGACGAGCACACUCAAACAAGAUGUCCAUGUUUCCAUUCAUCUUUGUAUAAAUCUCUGAAAUGAAUUUUGUAUUUUUGUAUGGUCAAUUGUGAUUAGCUCCUUGAUCUUUGUUUGAAACAGUCACCAGCAGAUUCACAUCUAGUGAAGGUAGCGGCUUGUGCUUCAUUGUCUGAUAUAUUUAUAAGGUUAGAUAUUUCUUUUCCUACCUUGAGACUAUUAGUUAGUACAACUAUUGGUCUGUAAUGUAGAGUGCUCAUGCUUGAUGCAUCUGAUUAAUCUCUCUCUCUUUGUGCAUGCUACUGCAUGGUUGUCACCUAGUCAGCAAUAAUUUUUUAUUUCUCUUUAUGCAUAAUACUCAAUAGGAGGAGGUCAAGGUUGUUGGACUUGAGUCUGCAUAAACUUGUCAAACAAACCUGCAAGAGUUUACUUGAUAAAAAAACAGUAUUAAAAUGUUUUUUGCAGUAUCUAAAUUAAAUGAAUACCAUAAAUUAAUAAAAAGAAAUUCCAUGCCCCAAGUUUCAAUUUAUUACGAGUCUUAUUUUUAGGGCAUUCCUCCUUGUUUUGAAAAUGAGCCUAGCAACUGUAUUGCUUGAGCACCUCGACCACCCUCUAAUGUGAGAUAUCUUUUGGACUACAAACCAAACAAAUUGGGGAUAUCAAUUACACAAUCCACUCUUUAACAGUGAUCUCAGUUCUCAACUAAUACUGCAAGAUCAGAAAGAAAAAAGAAACAGAGACACCUUUUUCACAAUUUAGGCUUCAUAAUGGCAGUCAACCAACUAGAUGGAGGCCAGUAGUAGUUGCGCAAGUUCGAGUGUGUUAGUGAGGUGACUUGAGAUUAAAACCAGAGAAAUAUAAUUUUAGAGGACUUAAUAGACCCUUCUCAUGUUCUACUAUAUAUAUAUUGAUAAGGAGUUAAUAUAGUAGGGAGAUGGAAGAUCAAGAGACUAUCUUAGACUGCAAGGUACCAUAAGUAGAGAUAACCCACACACUACUCCCUACUUUAGUGCUUUCGACUUCACUAGCAUAAAUAGACUUAAUAAUUAUUCCAACACUCCUCCUCAAACUGGAGCAUACAGAUUAUAAGUACCAAGCUUGGAACAAAUAAACCCAAUCUGAGGUCCCCUUAAGGACUUGGCCAACACAUUUGUGAGUUGGUCAUUUAAUCAAACAAACUUUGUACAUAUUUCUCUUGUUAACAACUUUUCACGAACAAAACGACAAUCAAUUUCUAUAUGUUUAGUUCUCUCGUGAAACACUGGAUUUGUUGUAAAUGAAAAGCAGCUUAAUUAUCGCACACAUCUUCAUAGGCUGGAUGUCACAGAAGUUAAGUUCUUGAAGGAACUGCUUCAUCCAUAUAAGUUCACACGUUAGUGACACCAUUGCCCUAUAUUUAGCUUUAGCUAUUGAUCGGGAAACUACACAAUAUCCAGUAGUAGAUUGUUUGUCAAUAGGCGAACCUAUCCAAUUCGCAUCACAGUACCUGGAGACCUGAAUGCCUCCUCUAUCUUCAUAUAACAACCCUUGCUUGGGAGCCUUUUUGAGGUACCUUAGAAUGCGAAUGAUAGCAUUACAGUGGCGAAUAUAUGGAACCUGCAUGAGCUAACUAACCACUUCAAUUGCACAAGAUAAAUCAGGCCUUGUAAGAGUGAGAUAAAUCAGUUUUCCAACUAGCCUCCUAUAUCUCUCCGGAUCAGAAAAUAAUUCACCUUCUUUUGUCAAUAAUUUCUGAUUUGGGUCUAUAGGACUAUCUACUUAUCUACAAUCAAUCAUACCUUUUUCUUGUAAUAUAUCAAGAUCAUACUUCAUUUUGAGAGAUUACAACUCCAUCUUUUGACUGAGCUACAUCAAUGCCCAAUAAGUAUUUAAGGCUUUCAAGAUCCUUGAUUUGAAAAUUUCUACACAAGUACUCCUUCAGUUGAGAUAUUCUAGUAGUAUCAUCAACAUAUGCUAUUAAGUAAACAUAUUUCCCGAGAGAUGUAUGACAGUAAAAGACUGAAUGAUCUGCUUCAUUGCGUCUUAGCUCAAAUUUUUGAACAAUGGAGUUGAAUUUUCUAAACCAAGCACGUGGUGAUUGCUUCAGGCAAUAUAGAGUGCGAUGCAAUUUGCAUACUGUACUAGACUUCCCUUGAGCAACAAACCUAGGAGGUUGCUCCAUAUAAGUUUCUUCCUCAAGAUCAUCAUGGAGGAAGACAUUUAUGAUAUCCAAUUGAUGAAGUGACUAGUGACAAAUUGCUAACAUUGCAAAGAAAAGACCAAUAGUAGUCAUCUUGGCCAUUAGAGAGAAAGUGUCACAAUAAUCAAAGUCAUAAACCUGAGUGUACCCUUUUUGCAACUAAUUGGGCUUUGAGCCGAUAAACUUCACCAUCGAGGCCAACUUGAAUUGCAUAUACUCAUUGACAACCAACUGCCUUUUUGCCUGGUGGAAAGGCGAUGAGCUCCCAAGUAUUAUUGUGGUCAAGAGUUUGCAUUUCUGCAAUCAUGGCUUGUUGCCAUCUAGGAGGAUCAAGUGUUUCAUUCACAUGUUUUGGGUAUAACCAUAGAAGACACUAAGGAUACAAGAGAACAAUAGGAAGGCGAUAGCUAAGAAAAUUAUAAACAGGAUUUGGGUUUCGAGUGGAACGAGUACCUUUUCUGAGAGCAAAAUGGGUCAACUUGAAUCAUCUUCACUAGGAGUCGUGGUAUUAAGUGACAAGGGAUAAGAAUCUAAAGUAGGGAAUUCACCAUUUUCUUAGAGUUGGCGGAUAUCAAUAUGUGGAGAUGAUGGUUCAGGAGGACUUUGAUCAAUACUUGAAUUGACAAAGAUAUGAGAAAUAUUGGAGUCAACCACUAGAAUAGGAAGGACCUGCUGUAUGACAUGAACAUCUUGAACUGAGGGAGAGAAGUAAUGAGUCUAUUCAAAGAAUGUAAUAUUGGCAGACAUGUAGUACUUCUUGGUUUCAAGAGAAUAACACUGAUACCCUUUUUGAAGUCGUGAAUAGCCUAAGAAGAUACGUUUGAUAGCACGAGCAAAAAACUUGUCUAACCCUCGAGACAUGUUACGAACAAAACAUACACAAUCAAAAACUCGAGGAGAAGUGUGAAAGAGAGAAUUAUUUGGAAAUAGAAUGGAGAAAGGAACCUUAUGAUUGAGAGAGGAGGAGGACAUCCUCUUAACGAGAAAACAU